GACGAACGCUGGCGGCGUGCGUAAUACAUGCAAGUAGAACGCUGAAGAGAGGAGCUUGCUCUUCUUGGAUGAGUUGCGAACGGGUGAGUAACGCGUAGGUAACCUGCCUUGUAGCGGGGGAUAACUAUUGGAAACGAUAGCUAAUACCGCAUAACAAUGGGUGACACAUGUCAUUUAUUUGAAAGGGGCAAUUGCUCCACUACAAGAUGGACCUGCGUUGUAUUAGCUAGUAGGUGAGGUAACGGCUCACCUAGGCGACGAUACAUAGCCGACCUGAGAGGGUGAUCGGCCACACUGGGACUGAGACACGGCCCAGACUCCUACGGGAGGCAGCAGUAGGGAAUCUUCGGCAAUGGGGGCAACCCUGACCGAGCAACGCCGCGUGAGUGAAGAAGGUUUUCGGAUCGUAAAGCUCUGUUGUAAGUCAAGAACGAGUGUGAGAGUGGAAAGUUCACACUGUGACGGUAGCUUACCAGAAAGGGACGGCUAACUACGUGCCAGCAGCCGCGGUAAUACGUAGGUCCCGAGCGUUGUCCGGAUUUAUUGGGCGUAAAGCGAGCGCAGGCGGUUUGAUAAGUCUGAAGUUAAAGGCUGUGGCUCAACCAUAGUUCGCUUUGGAAACUGUCAAACUUGAGUGCAGAAGGGGAGAGUGGAAUUCCAUGUGUAGCGGUGAAAUGCGUAGAUAUAUGGAGGAACACCGGUGGCGAAAGCGGCUCUCUGGUCUGUAACUGACGCUGAGGCUCGAAAGCGUGGGGAGCGAACAGG
rnacentral:rRNA from 1 species